GCCUCUAUAGCUCAGUGGUAGAGCGCGACACUAGUAUACAACAGCUCCCCCCCCCUUUUCCACCCUUGGAAAAAGGACGAGCUGCUGUAGGCUAGCAAUGUCGAGGCCGUCGGUUCGACUCCGACUGGAGGCA